rnacentral:lncRNA from 1 species
CUUUAUUAAUAUAAGGGAGUAUUACAAUACUGUUGCUUACAACAAUACUCAACUCCAAGGCUAACUAAGUGACAGCAGAGGUCUCAAUACAUCAGCAACGACAUCCCUGGCUGGGCUCCAUAACUCGCAGGACUGGCUUGGUUACGAUCUAGCACGCCGAGUCUUCCCCUGCAAGUGGCCACCUGCAAGGCCAGGUGAGUACUUUGAAUGUACUCACAAGACAACCAAAUACAUGGCAUCCAAGCAAGCAUGUAACAAAGCAAGCCCAAUGAUUGUAUAAUAGCUAUUCUAAGCAUGGCAUGGUAUUGACAGGAAAAUAUGCACCAAGCAUAGCAUGACAUGAGCUAAACAUGUAAUCUACCUUACUAGCAUGACAAAGAUCACAACAAGUGCUUAACUAACUUAUUGUCACCGAAUGUCAACUUACUCUCUUCUGGGUUGUACCACAACCCUCGACAAACUCAUAAUUCAAUCUGAA